AGAGUUUGAUUCUGGCUCAGGAUGAACGCUAGCUACAGGCUUAACACAUGCAAGUCGAGGGGCAGCAGGACGAUAGCUUGCUAUUGUUGCUGGCGACCGGCGCACGGGUGAGUAACGCGUAUCCAACCUUCCCCUUAGUAGGGCAUAGCCCGGUGAAAAUCGGAUUAAUACCCUAUGUUGUGUCAUGAGGACAUCUGAAUAACACUAAAGAUUUAUCGCUAAGGGAUGGGGAUGCGUCCGAUUAGGUAGUCGGCGGGGUAACGGCCCACCGAGCCCUCGAUCGGUAGGGGUUCUGAGAGGAAGGUCCCCCACACUGGUACUGAGACACGGACCAGACUCCUACGGGAGGCAGCAGUGAGGAAUAUUGGUCAAUGGGCGCGAGCCUGAACCAGCCAAGUAAGCGUGCAGGAUGACGGCCCUAUGGGUUGUAAACUGCUUUUAUACGGGGAUAAAGUGAGGGACGUGUCCCUUAUUGUAGGUACCGUAUGAAUAAGGACCGGCUAAUUCCGUGCCAGCCGCAGC
rnacentral:rRNA from 1 species